ACAUCUACUACUACUACUAAUAACGAUGAUGAUUAUUCUUCUUCGUGUCAAAAAUGGAAGCUUCCAAUGUUUGUGAAUCUGUCUACCUGUUGUAUGAUGGUUUUCUUGGUGCAGAUGAAACUUUGCAGGUACUGGAAAGUGUACGCCCAGAUGCAAACAGAAAAGAAUGACGACAGUCGUGCCUUGACGAGAUGUGUUCAGGAGCUGCGAAUGAAAGGGGCUAGUUUUGACUUGUCAAAGGAGCCUGGAAACGGAAAGAGGAUCAACAAGCGUUCAGAUUAGAUGGAAGCCAUUGACGUUUUGUCGUCGGUAUUUUAUUACUUUCUGUCUUGUUGGUGCUAUGGGCCGGUUUCCAGAUUCAUGCUUUGUUGAAGGCUCAUGCUUUUAAAACAACAUCGGUUUCAAUCAUCCAAUAGAUCUUUGUAUGCUCGCCUACCGUAUUUGUAGCAUGUACUUUAUUUGUAACAUGUGUUCUUGAAAGUAGAAACAACUAAAAGAUGUCAUUACGUCCAUGCAUACGUACGUUUGGCGAACCAAACAGAUAUCCCAACUGAUUUCAUGUUAUAUGCUUGCAAUACUCAAUUCCGGAGACUGAUUACACGGCUAGCUAUCAUUUUUGUUUCUUUAAGGUUCAUUUUUUAUUCUCCAUGAUAAGACCUGCAGUGUACGGAGUACAUGCUGAUCACUAAUCAUUAAUGUGCAUUCUUAUCGAUAUUGCAAUAAUGACCAUAUUACUAUUGUACUCGUAAUAUAUAAUCAUAUGUAA